GGUAGAAUGGCUGAGGUAUAAGUGGUAAAUUGUAAAUUUAUUAAGGAGAAGUUUCUCUUCUAUCA
rnacentral:tRNA from 1 species